GCAGGUGUAGUUUAGUGAUAGAACUAUAGCCUUCCAAGCUAUAAGCGUGGGUUUGAUUCCCAUCACCUGCUCCA
rnacentral:tRNA from 2 species